rnacentral:rRNA from 1 species
AGCGAACGCUGGCGGCAGGCCUAACACAUGCAAGUCGAACGAACCUUUCGGGGUUAGUGGCGGACGGGUGAGUAACACGUGGGAACGUGCCUUUAGGUUCGGAAUAACUCAGGGAAACUUGUGCUAAUACCGAAUGUGCCCUUCGGGGGAAAGAUUAAUCGCCUUUAGAGCGGCCUGCGUCUGAUUAGCUAGUUGGUUGAGGUAAUGGCUCACCACGGCGACGAUCAGUAGCUGGUCUGAGAGGAUGAUCAGCCACAUUGGGACUGAGACACGGCCCAAACUCCUACGGGAGGCAGCAGUGGGGAAUCUUGCGCAAUGGGCGAAAGCCUGACGCAGCCAUGCCGCGUGAAUGAUGAAGGUCUUAGGAUUGUAAAAUUCUUUCACCGGGGACGAUAAUGACGGUACCCGGAGAAGAAGCCCCGGCUAACUUCGUG